CAAACACGGAGAAUUGAACAUUGGCACGUCCUGUCUCCUGUCAAAAUGUCAUUUAAGUAACAGUACAGGAGUUAAAAAGGUAUAAACUCAGAAGCACAAAGAGAGCAGGAAGGACACAUAUUAGACAAGAGAAUAUACCCAAAGGAAUGUAAAUCAUUCUACCAUAAAGACACACGGAUGUAUACGUUCAUUGCAGCACUAUUCACAAUAGCAAAGACAUGAAAUCAACCUAAAUGCCCAUCAACUGCAGACUGGAUAAAGAAAAUGUAGUACAUAUACACCACGGAAUACUACACAGCCGUAAGAAAGAGCAAGAUCUUGUCCUUUGUGGAAACAAUGAAUUUAGAGGCCAUUGUUCUGAGUGAACUAAUGGAGGACCAGAACACCAAACACUGCAUGUUCACAUUUAUAAGUCGGAGCUAAACAUUGACAUUGAGUAGAUACAGACACAAAGAAGAGGCCAGUGGACAAUGGGGCCUGCUUCUUGGGUGGAGAAUGGGAGGAGGGUGAGAAUUGAAAAACCACCUAUUGAGUACUAUGCUUAUUACUUGGGUGAUGAAAUAACCUGCACAGCAACCCCCCACGACACACUAUUUACCCAUAUAACCAACCCACGCAUGUACCCCUGAACCUACAAUAUAAGUUAAAAAAAGUUCAGAAAAUGUUGAAAACCUGAAAGUGGAAGAUAAAUAGUAAACGACUUUGCAAACCUGAGAAAGCUGAAAGCUAAUAAUCUAUGAAUUGAUACAAAAUCCAGAAAGACUCAAGAAUUGAACAUGCCAGGUCCCAGAGGAGAGGGAUUGGGGCGGGCCUGGAAACUGGAGAAGUGGACAAUAGCUUUCAAGGAAAAUCCACUCAGAUUCAAGCCCUGAAAAUGAACCUGGCCUGACUGGCUCCGUAGCCUGUGUUUGUGCCUCUCCUACCCACAGGGACAGGCUGGGAUUUCUGAGCCCUGUGCAGGCUCAGGAGGAAAGGCAGAUUCUGGGGAAGAAGCCCCCAGCAACAGGAGCAAUCCCAGCUGCAGAGCCAGGCUCCUGUCGUCAGGCCUGGCCCAUGUCCUGCCAGUCAGCGCAUGGCUGGAGGACCGCACAACUAGCUGUGACGGUGGCUGCCUUCUUUCCAUUUCUACUCCAGCAAGCUGGCCCCAGGAACAGCUGCGUGGGAGGUAAAUGGAAACUUUGAGGAGAAAGCCCAGUGGUCACCCAGGGCUGGCGAUGCUCCUGCCUUUAAGGUGUCCUGGGCACCCGAGCAGCUGUGGGCUACGGCUUAUACUUUCCCUAACUGCGGGUGGCUUUAUUGGAAUGUGAGACACAGGCCAUUAACCUUUUACCCCAGUCAUGCAGCUAAUCACCAGAGCAUUUCACCACCUCAGCCGUGGCUGCAAAACACUAAGCUGAUUAUGGGAAAGUGCAGAACACGAAUGCUCUUGUGGAAUUUUCAGUAGAGAUAAGCAUUUGCUGAGAUUGAAUGUGAUGUGAACUCAGCGCCCUCUCCAUCUUACUGUGACCUGAAGCCCAAUGAGCCGGUCCCUGGGUGGACCCUGUCCCUGGGUGGACCCUGCCCCUCAGUGGCCCCUUCCAGGAAGGCCUUUGGUCUUCAUGCACUCAGUCAGCUGUGGCUGGUACCUGUCCUCCUCAGGCAUCAUCUCAGCUAUAUCCUCAGUGCCUACAGUGUCCCCAGCAGGGAGCUCUGCUGAGCAUGUUGAUGCAGCGACACAGCCAGAGCUCCAGGCAGAGACCCCAUGGGUGGUGGUGUGCACUCGGCGGCACCUGUGAGGUCACCUAUGAUGGCAGCCAUGCAGUCCAGACCGUGGGAGCUCCACGGCCCAGCCCCGCACACAGCCAGUAAUGGCAGCCCUAGCUCCUUACCACCCACCAUGCACCUUUUAGAUUCAAGCAUGGGCUCAGGUUCCUUGGCCUCAAUGUUCUCAUCUAUUAAAUGGGAUGAUG
rnacentral:lncRNA from 10 species